rnacentral:rRNA from 1 species
GACGAACGCUGGCGGCGUGCUUAACACAUGCAAGUCGAACGGAAAGGCCCUGCUUUCGUGGGGUGCUCGAGGGGCGAACGGGUGAGUAACACGUGAGUAACCUGCCCUUGACUUUGGGAUAACUUCAGGAAACUGGGGCUAAUACCGGAUAGGAGCUCCUGCUGCAUGGUGGGGGUUGGAAAGUUUCGGCGGUUGGGGAUGGACUCGCGGCUUAUCAGCUUGUUGGUGGGGUAGUGGCUUACCAAGGCUUUGGCGGGUAGCCGGCCUGAGAGGGUGACCGGCCACAUUGGGACUGAGGUACGGCCCAGACUCCUACGGUAGGCAGCAGGGCGGAAUCUUGCACCAUGGGCGGCAGCCUGAUGCAGCAGCGCCGCGUGCGGGAUGACGGCCUUCGGGUUGUAGACCGCUUUCGCCUGAGACGAAGCGUGAGUGACGGUAAUGGGUAGAGAAGGCCCGGCUAACUACGUG